UGGGAUCAUACGCUCGGCAAACAACAGACCAUGAAAGCCACAACAAAAUGACUUCUGUGGUCACAAAAUCCCCUCCAACAUGAUGUCAUUAGUCACCCCAUUGUGAGCAUUACUGGGAGGGGUCUGGCUGUCACUACUAAGAGAGGGUGGUAAAAACCAACAGCGAAUACGAGGUGGCCCUGAAUCACAGGUGCCAGCACGGGUGACACAUCACUCCUGCCAACUUUUUGAACCUCCCCUGUGCAAAAGCAGUGACAUGCCAGCCCAGAGCCAGAAGCAGGCCACUAUACUUCUGAGCAGGCAUCAGCAGAGCACAGCCACCCUUAGAGCUGCACCCAUGAAGAAAUAGGUGGAGUACUGUGGACUUUACGUAUGCCACUCCACUGUCUGCAUCAAAAUCCACUUUGCAAAUACCUGGAAAUAAAUCUUCAACUUAACAGCCUGUAAGCUACAUACUGGAGCCUGUAUAACAUGUGCCAGUACUCAUGACCAUGCACAUCAAUCUUAACACAAAAAUAAUUCUGUACUUCCUUUUUCCCCAAUCGUCAUGCUUAUGGAAUGGUCACAUCCUAGGACCAAGAGAGCUCUUUCACCCGCUACACUGCAGAAGGGCAAAAGUUCGGAUCAUCUCAUUAAAAGAAGAAAGAGCAGAGUACAAAGGCAGACCUGGAUGUCUCAAGGCCAAGUUCAUUACGAUUCCCUGUGGAGAGAAAGGUUGAUAAUAAAAGCAAGAAUUUAUACCACAUUUAUAUGAAUAUUUUUGAGGGUCUUUGAGUGAUUGGGAUGCUUGCAUCUGGAAAGCAAAUGAACCAGGGUCUCAACUCAGCACCAUUUUAUACGGUGGACCAAGCAACACGGAAAAGUCUCAAAGUUGCAGCGGUAGUUACUGCUGCUUUCUACUUCUAACCCCACCAGCAGCCACAUCAUGAGAUAAUCAGAUUUUUUCAGCUUCUUGUGGUUUACCGUUUUGCCCCUCUCUACGGUCUUUCCAUAGGAUGUUCAGCAUAACUGCCCAUAGCAAAGAGGCUGCAAAAUGCAGACAAGAAAGAUUAGUACAUCAAGAAUACCUUUCUCACAUUCUUGUAGCAGUCACAGAUUUGAGAAGAACAUUAGGUGUAUAAAUAAGAGAUACAAGAAUACUAAAAAGAUGCCAUGCUACAAGUAUCUCUAUUUGAUCAAAGUAUAUUUUCCAAGAGCACCACUUCCACUGCUCACAAUUACACUCAUUCCUCUAACAACACUCAGAAAGUAAUAGAGCUGGACACACCACUCAGGGAACGACAGGAAAUUAUAUUAAGUUGAAAACAAGUUAAGAGCUUCAUUUUAUAGUGCAUCAAAUUCAGAACCACAAUGAAAAUGCAUGUACUACAGCCACUGUGCUAUCUCAACCAGAGCUUUGAACAAAGCACCGCAGCUUAGGUUUCAAGCCUUUCAUUAAGGUAUGCUCAAUGCAGAGCCUUAUCAUCUAAGCAGGUACACCAUGUUCUUGUGUGCGGCUCAUCUGUCUUUCCUGUACAAACAGCAGCAGCAGACUUUCCUGAACAAACCCAGUGGCGUUCACUGACCUGUGGUGGUUUCCCCAGCUGCAAACCCCAUUCCCUGUAAUGUAACAAGUACAGGCUUAGAGCAGUAAGAAAACCACGCAUCUGACUGGCUCUGCUUUAGUAUAAGUAGAAAUAUCCCUAGGAACUAUAUGGAUUCCUUAGCACUGAAUUUUGGAAAAUGCUUUGUUAAACUGUUCCUCAUUUCUUAAUUGUGUUACCCCCACACACCAUCAUGCCAGAGCCUGUAUGAGUGUCUGACGAGCCUGUGAAGCAACACGCAAGAUAGGCAAUUUCUAAACUCUCCACAGGUAGGCAAAAGACUUAUCUACGCUGUCAAAAACGAGCAUGCCUACAGCACUUGCAAAGUGACUUGUGAAAUAACUCAGGGUUUCAUCCUCUAUAUAAUUGCUCAACCUAGUUUUUCCACGAUAAAACUUAAGGUGAAAUUAUACCUUGCAAGGCUAUGGGAGGAUUUUAAAACAUAAGCAUAUUUUUAGAAACAAAAAUAAAUUUUCUGUCCUAGCAUAGACAUGACCACAGACUUCUCAUUUACAUUAAGUUUCUAACACUCUAGAGAAUCCUGAGCUUUGCAAAUUUAUUCCUAUGGAAAGCUUUUUAAAUGAGCAAGCAAAGUCCAACAGAAGAUUGAAAAGGAUCAUUUUCAGUGAGGAAAACCAGCAAACUUUAUAGGGUUUAUGUCAAUUAUCUUAAUUUGUGCUUUUUUAAUUUACUUGUGGUCCCCAGGACACCUAUGCUUUUCAAACCUUGCAUUUAGGGGAAAAAAUGUAGUUGUAUGUUUCCAGUUGGGGCCAGAGGUCUCUAACUUAUUGAUCAUCGUUUCCUCAAAAUCAAUCACAACUCAACUGGCAGUCUGGGAACACAACUCUGGAGAAGGGCAGAGAAUUUUUGGAGAAGGGCAGAGAGUUUCAGAGGUGUAUCCACACUGGUUUAACACUCUUUCCGUUUACAUGAGAAGUAGAUGACUGUUGAGUGCCUCUUCUGCGAGAUGAGCUAUGGACCAAUGCCCAAAACUCCCACCGACAUCAACAGGCUUACAGAAAGGGAGAGCAGAGCCCAGCAGCGCGGUUCUCAUGUGAGCCAACAAUAGAGAGGCUAUUCAGAGUUAAGGCAGAAAAUCAGAGCUCAACCCCAGCCCACGCCAAGGACAGCUGUGUUGUUGACAGCCAGGCUGGCUAUUUUACCACACCAAAGUUCUUCUCAAAAAACAGUAUUUCCUAGAGUGUUUGCUCUAGUCACACACUUGGCCUUAAAAGCUCAGCCAGCUUCUGCCCACUGAACACUAAUGGCUGCUGUGGUUUCAAGUCUCAGACAUGCUCUGGGACAAGCUGCCUGCUUUCAGUCUGUGGUAGCAAAACCCGAGCACAAAAGCCUGGCAUUGUCAGUUAAUCUGCACCAUCACAAGACCGCUCUGUUUCUGCCAUGUCCAAACCCACACCACCACCUCCCUCCCUCCCUCCCACUUGCAGGCCCCACCAGGACAUGGCAGGGUGCGAGUUGCACACCUGCAACACCACCUCUCCAACAUCAAUGCCAAGACGAGCUGGACGAGGAACGUGGCCUAACUUAAGAGAUAUAGGGCUACGCAGUGCCAGGGUAAAACAGGCUCUCACUUUCCAUUUCUUGCUACCAUCGUUUUCGUGUAGGGCUUUGAACAAGCCUCUUGCAGGCUGCUUUUGAAGCAGUAGCAGUCCCUGUUACCUUGUGGGUGCUGCCUGGUCACUGGUGUAAGUGCUUAAGUUGGUAUUCAACACUUAGUCGUGACAGCUGGGGAGGAACAAAGGAAAAGGCGUAACCCACUUCUUCCACUCAUUUCUGUUUCUCAAUCUAUAUAACAAAGUCAGGAAGGUGAUCAGAAGACUGACACCACCGCCACACGCUCUCUGGGCUACACCAGGAAUUGGCUCCAAAGAGCUGUUUACCCUUCCCAAUCACCUCAAGCUCACCUCACCCAUCCUCUCAAGAAGUUAACUGUAAGGUUUUCUCCUUUUUGGAGGUUGUUGCCACAAGCCAGAGAUGUAUCUUGUCAUGCCUGAGGAGAGAUCCAUUCAUCCGCAGACCAAAUACAACACGGGCAGUUACAGCAUAUGGCAAAGCCGCCUGCAAACUCCUUCCCUCCCCAGGCGCCGAUGAGAUAUUUGUAUCACAAUGAGCCACAUGCUGAGGGAGGAGCGGGGAGGGAGAGGUAUCGGGCCAACAAAACAGCCACGCUGGGACCCAACCCAGGCACUCCUUCUAGCCCAGACACACCAAGGACAAGGGAAAGGAGGAUAAUCCUGCUCUGUUCUAAGACAGCACUGUAGAGAAGGUCCUGACCUUCACUUACAGGCAACAUCUAUUAACUGGUCUUGCUGAAAAGUAUAAACAGGUUGCGGCAAAACUUCUUAAUCCGCCAGGCCCUUAAGGCUACUUGGGCUGAAUUCAGAGAGAGAGGGAGGGAGGACACGCCAGCAUUAUCCUUCUGCACUGUACUGUGUCAAAACAAGAAACAAAACAUCCUUUGGAAAACCUUCUUCAAAAAGGACCCGCAGCAGGCAACACACAAGAGACAGCACAGAUACACGCCAAAAGGAUGGCCACCCUUGGGUAUCCAACCCCGAGCCCGCUCUGCAGCGGCCACUCACCCCACCUCAAACCAGAUUUUGACCCGUUGUGUCGCUGCUGCAGUGAGGGUCUCCAGGUUUUGCUAAGAGGUGUUCUCUGGGGCCUGCUGGCAGCCCACCACCACCUACCACACCGCCCGCAGAUGUGGGGCACUGGGCUCUGCCUCCUGCUGGUUCUGGAGGUAUUACUCUCAGUGGUGCUUUGAGGGAGAUGAAAAUGAUAGAGCUCAGGAGCCCAACCUUGUCCGUUCAUGUGCAGAGAUUCUGGCAGCCACUUUCAGAUGGGAGCACCGUCUGGUUUUGCUUGUUUUGUUUUUUUUGCUCAGAGGUGAUGUGUUCAGGUUCAUCUUAGUAAAGAAACACCGCCUGCUUUUCACUUGCUGAGCUAGUGCACCUCUUCCAGUUACCCUGGGACGGCCCACCACAGGCUCCUUUGCCCCCGUUCGCUCCCUCCAGGCCCACCUACCCCUCAGGGUCACACCAGUAGCUGAGGCCUCACAUUAGCAUCACCAGCAUCACCCAGAACAUCUCCCUUUAGUCACAUCCCAAGGACACAUGCCAGUGGUGCCCAUAUGCCCAUUUGAUCUCUCCCUGGUCUGCAGCCAAAGAAACAGCUCUAGCCUAAUACCUUCUUACCAAGCUUUAGAGCUUAGAGAAAAAAGAAAGACAGCAGGGUUGGGAAGAUAGCCAGCAAGCCUGCCAAUCUAAAUGAUAAGCCGUUGGCUUUAACCUUGGGUUCAUAAUUUACUGCCUCUGGUGCCAGGUGCUAUUAUUGUCCCUUCGGGAACCUUAACACAAAAAGACACUAUAGUUCUUUCUACCCAUUCCUAUCCUCCUCUUCCUCCUCCUAUCCCACAGAUCUCUCUUCAAUACAUUCUCCCAAACUUCAGCCACAUCUAAUUUCCUUUCCUUACCCUCUGUUGCCUCAUCCAAGCUCUCUAGCACACUCCAAAUCACUCUGACCGAUCCAGUAACCACACUCUCCUUCAAGAUCCAAAGCAGCACCUCCAGGAACCAGGUUUCAGAUGUUUCCACAGACGUUCUCGCUCCUGGCUCAUGCUUGGACACAGCCCAGGUAGCACCUGGGCCCUGUGACAGUCCAGACAGCUAUAUUCACCAGCAUGCUGGCUUCCAGGAAGAGGUGGUGAAGUUACAUGGCUAGAUAUCUGGGGAAGAAGAGCCAGAUGAGUAUUUCCAGACAGAAGCACCCAUACACUGGUUCACUCAUCCAUCUCCCUCUUGAACUGUUGCCCCUUUGCACGUGUUGCAAAACCAGAUCAAAAAUGCCCUCAAGCAAAACAAGGAAGGGAUUAAGGGAGAACAGCAGCAAUGUUUGGCCCUAGAAAUGGACAAGCCAACACUCUGUGCCUGGGCUGACACAGUGGAGGAAGAUGUCCAAGGAGAGACGUGUGAUCAGAAUGGCAGUCUGCUAGCAGCACGCCUGAAACGUGAAGGGCUUCGAAGAUGAUUAGGGAGCUGGAGAGAAGUCCUGUGGGGAAAGGUGGAGAGAGCUGGGACUGUUUAGCAUGGAGACGGCUCAGGUAGGAUCUUACCAAUGUCUACAAAUACCUGAAGUGUACAAAGAAGAUGGAGCCAGGCUCUUCUCAGUGGUGCCCAGUGACAGGACAAAAAGCAAUGAGUUCAAACUGAAACAUGCGUGAACAUCAGAAAACAUUUAUGAGGGUGACAAAGCACUGAAACAGGUUAACCAGAGAGGUCGUGCAGUCUUCCUGGGAGAUAUUCAAAAGCUGUCUGGACAUGGACCUGGACAACUGGCUCUAGGUGGCCCUGCUGGAGCAGGAAGCUUGGACAAGAGGACCUCCAGAGGUCCCUUUGAACCUCAGCCACCCCAUGAGAUUGCUCUAACCUCCAUCAUGCUGAUGUAUGCUGAAAGUUUCAGAGUAGGACUGGGUUAGCCUACCUGGCUUGCCCUUGGCAUUUAGAAGCAGCCACCAUGGCAGCAGGUGAACUUCAGUGUUGCCAUCAGUGAAGUGAAGACAUCACUUACCUCCUUCGGGAAAGGAAAGAAAACCAUUACCUUUUCUAGGAAGCAGCUAGGCUAAACUCUACGUGAGUUACUCUCUACUCUGCUCUGAUUCAUCCAGCCCUGGCAGCACACUGGCACUUCCAUUACAGCGUGUUUUCGCAGGGAUUUGAUAGAAUUAACCAUCCAGAGCAGGCUCGGGGAUGCACAGCAAGAGACUGAGAUAUCUGCUGCCUGGCAGAGGCACAACCACCUCAUCCGGGCAGGGUGGGGUUCCCCAUGCCUUCCCCUUGCUUCCCAGACCUGGGUGUUCUCAGCAGGCACCCUUCCUUCCUUCCCUUCUGUAGGCAUCGGACUGCAAAUGCCUUCAUCAGCAAACCAGACGUCAGCUGGGGGGCACUGAGCCAAAGCAUCCUUACAACAGACGUCAAAACAGAAGAGAACAUCUCCUCGCCUCCUUCAAACAGGCAAAGAACGAGACACCCCUGCUGUGCCCGCUGCCCAUUCACGUGGCACACAUCCCGAGUCCCAGAGACUCCUGCCACAGAACUAUAUCCUAGAGCGGUCUGAUACAUUUUUUUUGUCCACAGACUUUCCCGUGCUAGGAUUGCCUUGCAGCACAGCAUUUGUUUCACAGGCUACUUCCUCACCGAAUACUGGCAGGGGUGAGACGGACAGGGGCUUUGGUGCCGGAGGAACAGCUGCUGCUGAGCAUUUUGGGAGGUAAAAAAAAUAAAAACAAAAUUGCAGGAGGUUACCAGAAGGUAGAUUUCUCACUCUGUAAUGGCGCAACCUGUUUCUGCAACAGUUUCCUUACGACGUUGCUUCAGCAGGCAAACUACCACGCUGAGGGACGAAGAACUGCUGCAGCCCAGCUUCUCAAACCUGGGGUGGACACGUGCUGGCACCGGGCCCCGGAGGAACGGGCGUAAGCCAUUACGUUCGGCACAGCCACUGAGCUCUGCUCGGUCAUUCUGGAGAGCGAGGCCCAGCACGGAGGGAGAUACGAAAGCAUCAGCAGCGCCAGCGCUAGGUUUUCCAGCAUCCCCCGAGCACAGAGAGGCGAGCUCAGGAGAGCGAACAGAUGAUAACAAUUUUCAGUAACUGACAAGGGCUGGAUUCAAACGGGAGGCCAAGAGGUGAAAAGGACUCACGAGCUCACACAUUCUCUGCCUGGAAGCUAUUUGUCAAGUCCCGGAGAGGCAGGCAAGGGCAAAGCCCAGCUGUGCUAAGGAUUUGAAAUAUCACCCUGGAUGCAUCACCAGCCCAAAGCCCAAGUACCUGGGCUCACACGCUGGUCCUUGCUCUCACCUUGCUCUCCCUGGCAGGGUGAGAGCCCACAGCUUGCUUUCCUGUAGCCUCUGUGUGACUAGUAUCACGCUGAAAGCAAGCUUUUGGUGCUGAUCGCCCUGCCAGGCCCAGUGCAACCAAAAUGCUGAUAUUCAAGCAUCCGGUAGAAGAACUGUUGGGCUUGAUAUUACAGCUAAGCCCUGAUCAGAGCUCACGCUGCCCCAGGCCACCAGACAAAGCCAAGACAAAGUUUUCAUCACCCGUUAAGCACUGAAACUAUUCACCUACCAAAAGAGUACAGCGUCUGCAGUGACAAAUCCACGUGCUAGUACAGGGUAUGUUCUCUUCUGUGCUGGCCCUUUUCAUCCUAGGGUCUCAAAGCAUUUUAAACAAUGCAUUAAGCCUCCAUUAGACGAUGGGUGCUUGAUACUAUCUACUCAUACAUGCAGUUAAAUCAUAACAGAAGCGUUUCACUUGCUCAGGACUACCUAAUCAUUUUAUAGCAUAACGUACCCAGGUAUGCAGACUCUGCUUUGUAUUUUAAAGUGAUGUUUUCCCUACUAGCAACCUGCCCACAGAGAAACAAGGACAACUUAGGUUUCUCUUCCUGCCAACCCAAAGCCGCCCUCCUUAGAUUAUGAUCUCCCUCCCUGCACACGCUGCACUGAGAUCUAUUUUCACCUGCUUGAAAAGUCAAAGGAGCUCCAGCAAGCCGUGCUAAAUGGCACAGGAGGAAAGGCCCUUUGCUUCCUCUCUAUCCCCUUACACAGCAUGUCAAGAACAAUUAAUCUCAUCCCCUGGAACAAGCUCAGCAGCUCCAAGUAGCCUUUGCAAUACCCUGGACUUGCUCACACCUCUGCCCACCCCCGUGCACCCUGGUGCCUCCACCUCAAGCCACCAAAGGACUUCCCUGCUCUCCUUGACCUCGUGAAUCAGC